CCUCAUACCUUUGGCAUGGGUGCGUUCAAUCAUUGGCGUAACAUGAAUGCAAGUGUGAGGUACAGUGACACAGCUACAUGCCUUCGGUGUCCAUACAACCCAUGUCUGGAUCCCAUCCUCAGAUGCUGUUACAUUU